rnacentral:rRNA from 1 species
CAAUAGCGUAUAUUGAAGUUGUUGCGGUUAAAAAGCUCGUCGUUGGAUUUCUGUUGAGGUCGAACAGUGCCGCCCUCUGGGUGCGCAACUGGCUCGGCUUCGGCAUCUUCUUGGAGAGCGCAUCUGCACUUAACUGUGUGGAUCGUACUUCAAGUCAGUUACUUUGAGGAAUUGUGAGUGUUUCAAGCAGGCUUACGCCGUUGAAUCCGUUAGCAUGGAAUAAUAGGAUAGGACCUCGGUUCUAUUUUGUUGGUUUUGAGAGCUGGGGCAGCGAUUGAUAGGGACGGAUGGGGGCGUCCGAACUUUACUGUCAGAGGUGAAAUUCUUAGAUCGGUCAAAGGCGAACUACUGCGAACGCAUUCGCCAAGAAUGUUUUCUUUAA